UCUAGGGGGUGCAGCCUGAGGAGAGAAUGGAGCUGUGAGGUGGUGCUGCCGGUGGGCUGGGAAGACGGUGGUGAGCUGAGGAGCAGGCCCAGCUAGAGGGGGAGCCAGCCGCGUGGCACAGGCUGGGCCUCGCUGGCAGCUGAGAAUUCAACAGCAGUGAGGGCAGGCGCCCGAUCCUGCUCUCGGCUCCAAAACACAGAACGUGACUUAAGAACACCGUGGGCAGCGCCCAAGUAAGAAAGGCCGGCUGGUGAGACCCAGGAUCCACAGCUGGCGGCAUCACAUCCCCAAAGAUGAAGAGAAAAGGAAACACCGCUGACUUCUGUCCUCUGGAAAGCCAAGGGGCAGAUGACUGUAGAGACUGGAGAAGGCGAACACCCAGUCAGCAGUGGGGGAACAAACAAAAUCAAGCUGUUUUACCCCAAAGAAGAUUCAGAAAGUUCAGGAGUCGGAGGUACCAGGCACACCUGGCCGUGCAGGGUGAGGGGUGCCUGCAGGUCAGGGAGACUGAUAGCAGCUGGGCAGGGCAAGGGCAAGGGCCAGCUCUAGGCUCUGCACAGGCUGCUGAGCGGACAGCGGGCUCUGCUGUCGCUUGGAUUCUGGGUCUCCUCCCAUCUUGGCCAAAGGCUGGUUGAGGCAGGAGACCAACUGAGGAAGUUAAGGGGUUAAGUGAAGUCACACUGUGUGCUGAGCAGCAGCCUCUCCAGGAUACUGGCAGAAGGCUGGAAGUGCCUUCCUGGGGGCUCGGGUGCCCCAAACCAGCCAGAGUACCCGACAGAUCCGUCACUGGCACCCACAGACACCCCCUCUCUCCACUCACAUCCCCUAAGAUGUAGGUCUUGGGGAGUGAUGCCUCCAUGUCCUUCCCAGCCCCUCACCCACCUGCUCAGAUUGGUGGUCCCCGUCUUAAACGUAAGCAGAUGACUUGGAGGGAACAGAGACCAUAUUGGGAGAAGAAAACCUAGAACAAGUUACUGCUAUUCUCAGAGAAAUAAAGACAUUGUAACUGUGAGGACAGCAGGAAGUGGCUAUAAAAACGAAAGCUCAGGGAAUGGAACCUCCUGGAAGUUAAAACCAACGAGCAGAUAUGAGCGUCUCCACGGAGGGUCUGGAAGACGUCAGUGAGGAACUCUGGAUGACAGAAUACAAAGAAAGGGACGGGUUAGAGUGAGAAGAACGUUAGAAUCGGAAUGAAACAAUGAGAAGGAAAUCAAAGAAACCAUUCCAGCCAGUCCCACGAUCGAAUGUGCUUUUCCGAUGGGUCAGGCUCACCAACAUGUGAUUCAGAAACCUGUGAGCGCGUUAAUAAAACGAAUCCUUUAUCC